CCUACGGGAGGCAGCAGUGAGGAAUAUUGGUCAAUGGACGCAAGUCUGAACCAGCCAUGCCGCGUGCAGGAUGACGGCUCUAUGAGUUGUAAACUGCUUUUGUACGAGGGUAAACCCCGAUACGUGUAUCGGGUUGAAAGUAUCGUACGAAUAAGGAUCGGCUAACUCCGUGCCAGCAGCCGCGGUAAUACGGAGGAUCCGAGCGUUAUCCGGAUUUAUUGGGUUUAAAGGGUGCGUAGGCGGUUUGAUAAGUUAGAGGUGAAAUGUCGGGGCUCAACCCCGAAACUGCCUCUAAUACUGUUGGACUAGAGAAUAGUUGCGGUAGGCGGAAUGUAUGGUGUAGCGGUGAAAUGCAUAGAUAUCACGCAGAACCCCGAUUGCGAAGGCAGCCUUCCGGCGCCCUACUGACGCUGAGGCACGAAAGUGCGGGGAUCGAACAGGAUUAGAUACCCCAGUAGUC
rnacentral:rRNA from 1 species